AAUCAACGCUGGCGGCGUGCCUAACACAUGCAAGUCGCGCGCGAAAGGGGGGCAACUCCCAAGUAGAGCGGCGAACGGGUGAGUAACACGUGGGUAAUCUACCUUCGAGUGGGGAACAACACCGGGAAACUGGUGCUAAUUCCGCAUAACAUCGUCGGGGCUUCGGUUCUGACGCUCAAAGCUGGGGAUCGCAAGACCUAGCGCUUGAAGAUGAGCCCGCGUCCGAUUAGCUAGNGGCGGGGUAAUGGCCCACCAAGGCUUCGAUCGGUAGCCGGCCUGAGAGGGGCGGACGGCCACACUGGAACUGAGACACGGUCCAGACUCCUACGGGAGCAGCAGUGGGGAAUUUUUCGCAAUGGGGGCAACCCUGACGAAGCAACGCCGCGUGGGGAGUGAAGGU
rnacentral:rRNA from 1 species